CCUACGGGUGGCAGCAGUGGGGAAUAUUGCACAAUGGGGGAAACCCUGAUGCAGCGACGCCGCGUGAGCGAAGAAGUAUUUCGGUAUGUAAAGCUCUAUCAGCAGGGAAGAAAAUGACGGUACCUGACUAAGAAAGCCCCGACAAACUACGUGCCAGCAGCCGCGGUAAUACGUAGGGGGCGAGCGUUGUCCGGAAUGACUGGGCGUAAAGGGAGUGUAGGCGGCAUAUUAAGUUAUGUGUGAAAGCCCGCGGCUCAACCGCGGAAUUGCACAUAAAACUGGUAAGCUGGAGUGCAGGAGAGGUAAGUGGAAUUCCCGGUGUAGCGGUGGAAUGCGUAGAUAUCGGGAGGAACACCAGAGGCGAAGGCGACUUACUGGACUGUAACUGACGCUGAGGCUCGAAAGCGUGGGGAGCAAACAGGAUUAGAUACCCUGGUAGUC
rnacentral:rRNA from 1 species